GUCUGAAACCAAAAGCAGACACUAUUCUUUAAACAGGAGUUGCUCUAACUGUGUCUUCAGGCUGGUGAUCACUCAAGAACUGCGAUGUAAAGUCAGCUAAAUGGGACUGGCUAAUUGGCAGUGGGUUUGUACAGCAACGAGGUGGACCUGCCCUGCACCACUGACCUGGCCACCCUGGCUGGGCUGCGAGCGCUGCUUGCAGCAGGAACGCUUUCUCCCCACACUCUGCUCUGGGCUGUGGGCUUGGCUCUGUCAUGACCACACUCUACACCAGCCCUCCCAACAUGCCCUCUCCAGCUACUUACAGGUGUAAGUGCAGACAUUUUCCCUCCUGUGCCCUGAAGCACUGCUCCGGGAGCGGCUUUGCUGAGCUUGGCCUACGGGGUCACCGCUCCCUCCCGGCGGUAACCCCUGGCCUGGGAGCGCCACCUGAAACCACGACUGCUUCUCGUGACAGUCUCCAGAGAGAGCUGGCAGAUCAAGCUGUGACUUCUAAAAAAGGGAAGCAUAACAGAAAGAAGCCCUGAGUCCUCUGCUCCUGUUCUGCAGCCUUAGGAAGAACAGUACAAGGACCAGAGUUGACAGCUGCUUUGAUAGAGCUUACCUGUCCAGCAGUGUCCCACAGCUGAAUUCGGACUGGGGCUCCAUCCACGAGGACCUGCACUGUAGCAGAAGGAGAGUAAGGAUGAGUCCAAAGCAGCUGGCCAGCACACACAGGUACACUCAUACAGGCUUUUCCUGAGCAUUUUGCUUCAUACCCUGCUGAACAGACUCACUGAAGUCACUCACAUCUCCUCCUAGCUGAGCAUCCUCCCAAACCUCACCAAGACUGCAGAAGGUUGCACUGGAAACACUAAGAGAACUGCAGCAGACCUGGUUUUGUUAGCUUUCAGGUGUUUUGUGCUUGUCUCUGGAAUUUUGAAAGAAUAGUUCCACGUUACUGGACAACUGCACCUCUACACAAAAAGAGCCCUUAGCCAAACAGUUCCCUGGGAGCCACUCGUUUUCCUUCCACAAC